UACGUAGGGUGCAAGCGUUAAUCGGAAUUACUGGGCGUAAAGCGUGCGCAGGCGGUUAUGCAAGACAGAUGUGAAAUCCCCGGGCUCAACCUGGGAACUGCAUUUGUGAUUGCAUGGCUAGAGUACGGUAGAGGGGGAUGGAAUCCGCGUGUAGCAGUGAAAUGCGUAGAUAUGCGGAGGAACACCGAUGGCGAAGGCAAUCCCCUGGACCUGUACUGACGCUGAGUGAGCGAAAGCCAGGGGAGCAAACGGG
rnacentral:rRNA from 1 species